AUUGAACGCUGGCGGCAGGCUUAACACAUGCAAGUCGAGCGGAGAGAGGUAGCUUGCUACCGAUCUUAGCGGCGGACGGGUGAGUAAUGCUUAGGAAUCUGCCUAUUAGUGGGGGACAACAUUUCGAAAGGAAUGCUAAUACCGCAUACGUCCUACGGGAGAAAGCAGGGGAUCUUCGGACCUUGCGCUAAUAGAUGAGCCUAAGUCGGAUUAGCUAGUUGGUGGGGUAAAGGCCUACCAAGGCGACGAUCUGUAGCGGGUCUGAGAGGAUGAUCGGCCACACUGGGAAUGAGACACGGCGCAGACUCCUACGGGAGGCAGCAGUGGGGAAAAUUGGACAAUGGGCGCAAGCCUGAUCCAGCCAUGCCGCGUGUGUUAAGAAGGCCUUAUGGUUGUAAAGCACUUUAAGCGAGGAGGAGGCUACUUUAGUUAAUACCUAGAGAUAGUGGACGUUACUCGCAGAAUAAGCACCGGCUAACUCUGUGCCAGCAGCCGCAGUAAAAC
rnacentral:rRNA from 1 species